GUAGGGUGCGAGCGUUAAUCGGAAUUACUGGGCGUAAAGCGUGCGCAGGCGGCUUUGCAAGACAGAUGUGAAAUCCCCGGGCUCAACCUGGGAACUGCAUUUGUGACUGCAAGGCUAGAGUACGGCAGAGGGGGAUGGAAUUCCGCGUGUAGCAGUGAAAUGCGUAGAUAUGCGGAGGAACACCGAUGGCGAAGGCAAUCCCCUGGGCCUGUACUGACGCUCAUGCACGAAAGCGUGGGGAGCAAACAGGAUUAGAUACCCUGGUAGUCCACGCCCCUAAACGAUGUCAACUGGUUGUUGGACGGCUUGCUGUUCAGUAACGAAGCUAACGCGUGAAGUUGACCGCCUGGGAGUACGGCCGCAAGGUUG
rnacentral:rRNA from 1 species